GGAUUUUCACUUAAAUUAUGGUCAAGAACCAGUUAAAUUUUACCGAAGUAGCAAAAUUCUAUUGUGUGCAGAUUGAUGUAAGAUGCAGUCAAAAGCUUCUUAUGAACAGCUCCAGAAGAUUUCAACAGAGUUUUCAUUUCAAGAGUGGCUUUCAUUGGUGCCCAAAACCAGCAAUGAAAUUGAAUCUGGUGCUUGACAGAUUCAAUCUGAAAACAAUCAGCACAAUGAGUAGGUAAAGUGAAUUUUAUUGUAUAUCUUUGUUUCCAAUGAGGUUUGGUUCUGAUCCAAACAUUCCUCAGUUUUUCUCAGUUCAAAUCUUCCUGCAAUUUCUCUGUUUUUCUUGUGAAUUUUGCUGCUAAUGUUGUGUCUCUAUUAAUGAAUUAACGGUUUAGCUGAAAGUAGGGAAGAAUUGUGCAACAUUCAAAAGUAUAGGAUUUAAUUGGUAAUUUGUAAAGUAUAGGUAUAAUUGAAAAAAUUUUGAAAGUACAGGUUUUUUGGGUAAUUUCCCAAAAAAAAAAACUUUUUGUGAAGAGAAAUGCCUCUCAACAUUCAUAGGAAGUAACCUGCUUCUUGAAAGAGUUUCAACAAUAAUUUGUACACAAUUUAAUUGCAGGAGGAAGUAAUGGCAAUGAAGCCUACUUCUGUUUUUGCUUCCCAGGGAACUCCCACCCCCAUUGGAAUCACCUGAUUUCUUUUCUUGCUAGAGAGCACGAUCGAGUAGUUAUUUGGACGCUAAAAAUAUCAGAAUAGAAGUCCCGAUUCCAAUCCGUUUGUUUACCAUCAAUUCCUGCAGAAAUUAACUCAAUAGGGUAGUCUUUGCAGAGAAGCCUGAUUCAUGUAUAAUUAAAACAAAGGGAAGUGCACCUUCUUGGUUCCCUUCAUAAUUCUUGCAAUUGAACUCUUCAUAAACUCACAUGAGGUAGAAUGAUCUACAAUUUCAAUCUUAGAGCAGAGUAAGGAUAAUGAUUCAGCAUGCACGUUAGGAAUGAUUCAAUGACCAGAAUGUCCAUUUGCAUGCAUGAACAUGUCCACAAUCCCCUGCAAUGAAGGAGAAAACAGUAAUUAGCUAGCAUUCAUGAAGUAGUGCUGCCUAAGUUUGGUUCUUAAAAGUCAUCGAUUAAUAAUUAUUGUUACUAAAUUUCCCCAAACAUUUCAUGAGAAUGCAAUCUUCUCAAAAAGAAUACUGUCACCAGCCAAAAAUAUUUGCCUUUGAUUUGUGGUUAUAAUAUUUAGACAAAGACUGAACUAAUACUUGCUGAGUUCAUUUAAUGGCUGGGAUUGAACUUAAUCCAUCUUUUUGGUGAAAUUCAUAGAAGGAAGAACCCAGCUUCCCCCUCUUUUGUAAACCAAUAUAUCAGAUGUGAUUCAGUGUUCUUGCACUUGUUCAUGCUUGCACAUGAACAUGUUAAAUCUAAGCCUUCCCGGAAUAUAAGAAAAAAUUUCUUGAACAGAAUACUCACGUUCAUAAUUUCUUUUUACCUACCUUUCCAUGAACCCCAAGAAUGGUCCCCUACUCUUUAGAAAAUUAUACAGUUAUAUUAUGAGGGAAGCAAUUAAUGCUUCUUGUCUAAAUGUUAACUAGUGUAGAUGUAUAGUAAAUGAAGCGUGACAUAUUAGCUAACCUAAUCUUGCGGUUCCUAGAAGGUUCUACUGGUUUCUGAGACACAAGUGAAAUUUCUGGAAGAAUGGGAAAAUAUGUUGGGAUGCCUAGAAAAUACAGGAAAGAAAUUGAAUUAAUGCUAAAUAUUUAAAGUGAUAAUUAGUUUAAGUGAGGUUAAAUUUGUUUCUUUUCAUACUUCUCUCACAAGCAAACAGCCAAAGGCAGUUAUAAUCCAUGGAUUGAGGAUUCAAAGAGGAUCGAAAAUAUUGCUUUCCCAAGGCAAGACACAUUUUAUACACAUCACAAAUCUGGUUUCUGAGAAUAAAUAUUACAAGAUUGCAUUGCCACUGCUUGACUAACACUGUUCCUCUCAUUGCUUCUGGUUGAUCUUUCUUUGGUCCUUAAACACCAGCUGCCUUACCUAGUCUCUUUCUUAAAAUCUUCAGUCCCAUGUACCUGCCCAUCAUCAAGACAGUGCCUUGAGGGUUAGUGCCAGGGGAUUCAUCAAAUGUGGAGCCAUCGACAAUUCGAAGCCUUUGAAUACCAAUAACUCUGUAGCCAGGUGUCACUACCUUGCCUACGUGACACCCACCAUGAUAGUGCCAGAUUGUGAUCACAGUAUCUUUGCAGAACUGCUUUAGGGAAUUAGUGUCAUUGGGAUGCUUGGGUACAAGGUUCACAUUAGCAGCAACACUCAUGUUAAGAAUCUUCUCCACAGUCUGGUUGUCACAUUGUGUGAAGUUUGUGAAGUAUUCUGAUUGAACAACCUUUGUAGCCAUCCUGAUCCCAUGAACGCAGCGGUGCAAAUCUUUUGGAUGUUUGAAAUAGUUGAAGGUGACAGAAGGGUUAUCAUCAACAUUUGUGUUGAUCAAGCUGAGAUGCCCAGUUGAAAUGGGCCUGGCAAGCUUUUCAAGAAUGAAGCCUCCCUUGAAUGCUUCAUGAGGCAGGUCCUUCUUUCUUUUAAUGUAGGCUUGAAUGGCCUCCGGUGUUCUUUGCUUUGGAGGAAUGGUAGAUACCUGCCCUAUCUCUGCAGACAUCAUUCCAUGAUGAAAAUGAAUGCUAUCAUUGGACUGCCCAAAUCCACUGCUAGCUUCAAUAUAAACACCAAACUUUGUAAUCCCAACAGUUCGUAUUAAUGACUGCUGAACUGGUCUUUUAGAUGGAACAAAAAUAGUGUUCAAAGGAUUAUCAGCCAUGCCUUUCCCAACAAAUUCAUUGUCAAGAACUAGUGGAAUUCUCAUCCUUUUAAGUUCAGCUCUUGGGCCAAUGCCACUUAGCAGCAGCAUCUGAGGUGUGCCAAUGGCUCCACAGGACAAUAUUACUUCACUCCUAGGAUUAUUUACAAGAAAUGCUUGGUGUUGGUUACCAUUUUCAUCUUUGAAUAUGACUCCCAUUGCCUUUGGACUCUUCCCUGUAUCAGCCCAUUGUUCAGUAUAUAGUCAUUCUAUUUUAUCAGUACAGAAAAAGAAUUACUCAGUUUAGUUACUAUGCAUGACUCAUUAUUUAACAUACCUGAUGUAUCAAAUAGAACCUUUUGGACUGUGGCAUGUACCAAGACAGUAAGCAUCUGUGGGUUCCCGGAUAGAAGCAGUUCCGCUGCGGUGUGCCGGCGGCCGAACUGGUCAAAGAUUGUGCCACCAAUCUUGGUUCCAUAGACGUGAUCAUAAGUGAAUCCAUUAAAAGGUGACACCCCAAUAUCCAAUAAACUGUCCCUCAGAGCGACCUGCCAUGGGGCAACCUUAGGGCUGUGAACAAUUUGCUUCUCAACCCAGGGAUAUGACUCAUUCACCAAUUUUUCAUCCCAUCCUACUUUCUUUAUAAACCUUGUACUUGCCCUUGUGUAGAACCCAGCAUUGAUGCUAGUACCACCACCCAAAACCCUACCCCUAGAAUUGAGGACUCCAUCAGUGGAAAUGAAGUAUUGGGAAGCAGAAGUUGGAGAAGUAUCAGCCAGAGUCAUAUGGAAGUUGCUUAAGUAUGAGAUAUUUGGAUUGGCGAAAGGAACACCACCUCUUUCAAGCAAUAACACACUGAAAUUUUGGGACAAUGUGGCAGCUAAGGGACACCCAGCUGUUCCCCCCCCAACUACUAUAUAGUCAUAAGCAUUCUCUCCACCAAUUGAUGAGAAUGAUGAUGAUUUGGUGGAGAAAGUGCUUGCUUUCUUGAUAAACGGGUACCCAAAUGGAUAGAAAUUCUGCUUCCCUUGACAAGAAGAGAGAGUGUAAACCCAUAAAACCAAGCAAAGAAGAAAGAGCUUCACUGCCCCAGCAGAAGCCAUUGAAGGCAGACAAAGGCCACUUGAACACUCAAAGGAGAAGCUGCUUUCUUUCCACCUCUAUGUGGCUGCCUCUGUAUGGUCUUGUUUUGUGUGUUUUACACACUUAUAUAUACUUCACUUACAGAGUGCAGAACCAAAGACGGAAGGGUUCAUUAAUGGUGGUUGGAUGAGAAAUGACAAUAAAUGGCCGUUGGAU
rnacentral:misc_RNA from 1 species